rnacentral:rRNA from 1 species
GUUUGAUCCUGGCUCAGGAUGAACGCUAGCUACAGGCUUAACACAUGCAAGUCGAGGGGCAGCAUCAUCAAAGCUUGCUUUGAUGGAGGGCGACCGGCGCACGGGUGAGUAACACGUAUCCAACCUGCCGACAACACUGGGAUAGCCUUUCGAAAGAAAGAUUAAUACCGGAUGGCAUAGUUUUCCCGCAUGGGUUGACUAUUAAAGAAUUUCGGUUGUCGAUGGGGAUGCGUUCCAUUAGGCAGUUGGCGGGGUAACGGCCCACCAAACCUACGAUGGAUAGGGGUUCUGAGAGGAAGGUCCCCCACAUUGGAACUGAGACACGGUCCAAACUCCUACGGGAGGCAGCAGUGAGGAAUAUUGGUCAAUGGACGAGAGUCUGAACCAGCCAAGUAGCGUGAAGGAUGACUGCCCGAAUUUAAAAACUUCUUUUAUACGGGAAUAAAGUGAGCCACGUGUGGCUUUUUGUAUGUACCGUAUGAAUAAGGAUCGGCUAACUCCGUGCCAGCAGCCGCGGUAAUACGGAGGAUUCGAGCGUUAUCCGGAUUUAUUGGGUUUAAAGGGAGCGUAGGCGGGUUGUUAAGUCAGUUGUGAAAGUUUGCGGCUCAACCGUAAAAUUGCAGUUGAUACUGGCGACCUUGAGUGCAACAGAGGUAGGCGGAAUUCGUGGUGUAGCGGUGAAAUGCUUAGAUAUCACGAAGAACUCCGAUUGCGAAGGCAGCUUACUGGAUUGUAACUGACGCUGAUGCUCGAAAGUGUGGGUAUCAAACAGGAUUAGAUACCCUGGUAGUCCACACAGUAAACGAUGAAUACUCGCUGUUGGCGAUAUACAGUCAGCGGCCAAGUGAAAGCAUUAAGUAUUCCACCUGGGGAGUACGCCGGCAACGGUGAAACUCAAAGGAAUUGACGGGGGCCCGCACAAGCGGAGGAACAUGUGGUUUAAUUCGAUGAUACGCGAGGAACCUUACCCGGGCUUAAAUUGCAACUGACGGAACCGGAAACGGUUCUUUCUUCGGACAGUUGUGAAGGUGCUGCAUGGUUGUCGUCAGCUCGUGCCGUGAGGUGUCGGCUUAAGUGCCAUAACGAGCGCAACCCUUACGGGUAGUUACCAUCAGGUUAUGCUGGGGACUCUACCCGGACUGCCGUCGUAAGAUGUGAGGAAGGUGGGGAUGACGUCAAAUCAGCACGGCCCUUACGUCCGGGGCUACACACGUGUUACAAUGGGGGGUACAGAAGGCAGCUACACGGCGACGUGGUGCUAAUCCCGAAAGCCUCUCUCAGUUCGGAUUGGAGUCUGCAACCCGACUCCAUGAAGCUGGAUUCGCUAGUAAUCGCGCAUCAGCCACGGCGCGGUGAAUACGUUCCCGGGCCUUGUACACACCGCCCGUCAAGCCAUGAAAGCCGGGGGUACCUGAAGUACGUAACCGCGAGGAGCGUCCUAGGGUAAAACUGGUGAUUGGGGCUAAGUCGUAACAAGGUAGCCGUACCGGAAGGUGCGGCUGGAACACCUCCUUUCU